AGUCCAGUGGGGCUUAUAUAUGUAAUUUAUUUUUUAUUUUUUAAAACUUAGUGGGUGCGGCUUAUAUUCAGGUGCGCUCUAUAGUCCAGAAAAUACGGUACAUGAUAUCCUGACAACGUUUUCUUUCAAAGAGGGCGCAUCAAUUAAACAGCUGUGGAGACAUUUCACAAAAAUGUGAUUAACAAAGUAUGAAUAAACCCCUGUGGAUGUCAGAUAGCUGUUUUCUUUUUGGCACACUGAAGUCCACAAUUCUUCACUUCUUAGUCAAGCUGCAGCAAAUGACCCCAAACUGGGAAAACAAAAGGCAGAAAAAAGUGAAACAACUGAAUGAAAAGUCUCUUUAUUGAAUGUUUUUCAGAGGACCACCACAUACAUACAACCCACGCCAAACCUUUUACAUCAAGUCCCAAACACGGAUAUCAAGUGCCCGAUCCCCCGAGGAGCAAACUGUGAAUUGUUCCUACAGUAUAUACCGUACAUAACGGGUAUAAAAAAAUAAGAUUCUUCACAUACUGUCAGUUGUGUCGAAACUCUUUUUUCUUUUACUAAACUGUAUCAGGAGUUCGCCACUUUAAACUCAAGAGAAAAAAAACAAAAAAACGAAACAGAGCAGGGACAGACGAGAAAUAAAU